CACGUAGGGUGCAAGCGUUGUCCGGAAUUAUUGGGCGUAAAGAGCUCGUAGGCGGUUCGUCGCGUCGGCUGUGAAAUCCCGAGGCUCAACCUCGGGUCUGCAGUCGAUACGGGCGGACUGGAGUUCGGCAGGGGAGACUGGAAUUCCUGGUGUAGCGGUGAAAUGCGCAGAUAUCAGGAGGAACACCGGUGGCGAAGGCGGGUCUCUGGGCCGAUACUGACGCUGAGGAGCGAAAGCGUGGGGAGCGAACAGG
rnacentral:rRNA from 1 species